AGUGAACGCUGGCGGUAGGCCUAACACAUGCAAGUCGAACGGCAGCACAGUAAGAGCUUGCUCUUACGGGUGGCGAGUGGCGGACGUGUGAGGAAUACAUCGUAAUCUACUUUUUCGUGGGGGAUAACGUAGGGAAACUUACGCUAAUACCGCAUACGACCUACGGGUGAAAGCAUGGGAUCUUCGGACCUUGCGCGAUUGAAUGAGCCGAUGUCGGAUUAGCUAGUUGGCGGGGUAAAGGCCCACCAAGGCGACGAUCCGUAGCUGGUCUGAGAGGAUGAUCAGCCACACUGGAACUGAGACACGGUCCAGACUCCUACGGGAGGCAGCAGUGGGGAAUAUUGGACAAUGGGCGCAAGCCUGAUCCAGCCAUACCGCGUGGGUGAAGAAGGCCUUCGGGUUGUAAAGCCCUUUUGUUGGGAAAGAAAAGCAGCAGGUUAAUACCCCGCUGUUCUGACGGUACCCAAAGAAUAAGCACCGGCUAACUUCGUG
rnacentral:rRNA from 1 species